CUGGAAACCGGCCUCUCAGAUUCCCCUUACCUGAUUCAAAGAGCCUCUUUGGCCUAAAAGCCAACCCUGGCAGUGACCCGCACGCACACACGCACACACACACACACACACGCGCACACACCGACAGCAGCCUCGGAGGUCACUCUGGACGGAUUCCCUACACCACAGGUGAAGCCGGGAGCAGCUCUCACCGGGGCUGUGGGUGCGGUGGGCGGGCUGGGUGCGCACCCCACCUUCUCGCCUCUUGGGGACAGUGCUGCGGCGGAUUCCACGCGGUCUCGAGUGUCCUCAGCGAGACUGAGCCCCUGUGGCCCUCUGGACACCUGCUCAGGCACGAGCCCCGUACUCCCGUUGUACCCAAAUGCUCGCCUCAGGUCCGCUGGGGGGGAAACCCAAGCUCGAACGACUUCUUCCUGUUUUCUUCUGAAAAUUCCUGACUCUGUUCCCAUUCGUCUUUCUGCGUUUCAGGAGAGGCAGCACCCAGCCCAGCCAAGCCCUGCCCCUCUCCUCUCCCGCCUCGCCUCGAACAGUCCCUUCCUCCUCCCGGUGCCUCCUCGCCUGCACAGGCUCCCACCACAGAUCCCGACCGGCCUCCGGGUGCCUCCGGGUUUCCCCUCCCUACCCAACCCCCGCCUUCAACUGCAGCCCCGCGGUGCGCGGCGAGGACGUUUCCACCAGCGACAGCCUGGCCUCCAAGGGUGCACCUGGUACCGCGCGGGUGUCCCGCGGCACACCCUCUGGGGGUGCGAGGGCUCUCGGUGGCCUCCACAGAGGACGUGAAGGGCCCGUUUCCCGGAACGGCCGUGCCGCUCAGCCGCUCAGCCGCGCGCGGGACUGGGAGCCGCUUCAUUGACUCGUCUGCCCGGAGGAUCCCGCUGCUUCCUCACGUUCACCCCGACUGUAGCAUGUGCUGGGACCUCACCCCUGUCUGUGGCUGAACAUUAUCCCAACCCAAGGAUGUCCCACAUCUCCCUGGUCGCCUCAACAGAUGAAGGACAUCUGGGUUGUCUCUACCCGUGGCUAUUCUGACUAAUGCUGCUAACACCGUGUGUAUAGAAAUGUCUGUGUGGACAGGCACUUUCACUUCUCCUGGGUCCGUAACUGGGAGUGGAGUUGCGAGCUCACAUGGAAACUCCGCGCUUCCUUUUCUGAGCAGCUGCCGCACAGUUUCCCACUGCACCUGUGCCACCACACCACCACUCGCGGUACACAAGGGUUCUGCUUUCUCUCUG
rnacentral:lncRNA from 1 species